rnacentral:rRNA from 1 species
CUGACCGAUAGUGAACCAGUACCGUGAGGGAAAGGCGAAAAGAACCCCGGCGAGGGGAGUGAAAAAGAACCUGAAACCGUGUACGUACAAGCAGUGGGAGCACGCUUAGGCGUGUGACUGCGUACCUUUUGUAUAAUGGGUCAGCGACUUAUAUUCUGUAGCAAGGUUAACCGAAUAGGGGAGCCGAAGGGAAACCGAGUCUUAACUGGGCGUUAAGUUGCAGGGUAUAGACCCGAAACCCGGUGAUCUAGCCAUGGGCAGGUUGAAGGUUGGGUAACACUAACUGGAGGACCGAACCGACUAAUGUUGAAAAAUUAGCGGAUGACUUGUGGCUGGGGGUGAAAGGCCAAUCAAACCGGGAGAUAGCUGGUUCUCCCCGAAAGCUAUUUAGGUAGCGCCUCGUGAAUUCAUCUCCGGGGGUAGAGCACUGUUUCGGCAAGGGGGUCAUCCCGACUUACCAACCCGAUGCAAACUGCGAAUACCGGAGAAUGUUAUCACGGGAGACACACGGCGGGUGCUAACGUCCGUCGUGAAGAGGGAAACAACCCAGACCGCCAGCUAAGGUCCCAAAGUCAUGGUUAAGUGGGAAACGAUGUGGGAAGGCCCAGACAGCCAGGAUGUUGGCUUAGAAGCAGCCAUCAUUUAAAGAAAGCGUAAUAGCUCACUGGUCGAGUCGGCCUGCGCGGAAGAUGUAACGGGGCUAAACCAUGCACCGAAGCUGCGGCAGCGACGCUGAUGCGUUGUUGGGUAGGGGAGCGUUCUGUAAGCCUGCGAAGGUGUGCUGUGAGGCAUGCUGGAGGUAUCAGAAGUGCGAAUGCUGACAUAAGUAACGAUAAAGCGGGUGAAAAGCCCGCUCGCCGGAAGACCAAGGGUUCCUGUCCAACGUUAAUCGGGGCAGGGUGAGUCGACCCCUAAGGCGAGGCCGAAAGGCGUAGUCGAUGGGAAACAGGUUAAUAUUCCUGUACUUGGUGUUACUGCGAAGGGGGGACGGAGAAGGCUAUGUUGGCCGGGCGACGGUUGUCCCGGUUUAAGCGUGUAGGCUGGUUUUCCAGGCAAAUCCGGAAAAUCAAGGCUGAGGCGUGAUGACGAGGCACUGCGGUGCUGAAGCAACAAAUGCCCUGCUUCCAGGAAAAGCCUCUAAGCAUCAGGUAACAUCAAAUCGUACCCCAAACCGACACAGGUGGUCAGGUAGAGAAUACCAAGGCGCUUGAGAGAACUCGGGUGAAGGAACUAGGCAAAAUGGUGCCGUAACUUCGGGAGAAGGCACGCUGAUAUGUAGGUGAAGUCCCUCGCGGAUGGAGCUGAAAUCAGUCGAAGAUACCAGCUGGCUGCAACUGUUUAUUAAAAACACAGCACUGUGCAAACACGAAAGUGGACGUAUACGGUGUGACGCCUGCCCGGUGCCGGAAGGUUAAUUGAUGGGGUUAGCGCAAGCGAAGCUCUUGAUCGAAGCCCCGGUAAACGGCGGCCGUAACUAUAACGGUCCUAAGGUAGCGAAAUUCCUUGUCGGGUAAGUUCCGACCUGCACGAAUGGCGUAAUGAUGGCCAGGCUGUCUCCACCCGAGACUCAGUGAAAUUGAACUCGCUGUGAAGAUGCAGUGUACCCGCGGCAAGACGGAAAGACCCCGUGAACCUUUACUAUAGCUUGACACUGAACAUUGAGCCUUGAUGUGUAGGAUAGGUGGGAGGCUU